AUUUUUUUAGUAGAGACGGGGUUUCACCAUGUUUGCCAGGAUGGUCUCGAUUUCUUGACCUCUCAUCCGCCCGCCUCUGCCUCCCAAAGUGCUGGGAUUACAGGCGUGAGUCACCGCGCCCGGCCACAACAGCUCUCCUAGAAGUUAACCCUUCAGGCCAGGCCAGUAACAACUGACUCAACGUGGACCAAAGAGUAUCUGCUGAGCCAAACUGUUCUCACGUUCCUGAAAUGCAAAAUUGUGAAGAAAACAAGUUUGAUUUCAAGUCAUUAAGUUUCAAGAGAUGAGGUCUUGCUAUGUUGCCCAGCCUUGUCUUGAACUCCUGAGUUCAAGGGAUCCUCCUGCCCUGGCCUUCUGAAGUGCUGGAAUUACAGGAGACCGACUCAAGAUGGCGUGGUGAGAACAACCCAGGAUUGAAGCUCUCGGUGAAUGCGCGAAGGGUGAGUCAGGGCCGCAUUUCCAGACAUAUCUUUGUUGCCCACAGAACGGGGAAAUUCCCAGGUAUAAAAGAGACAUGGGAUGCCAGCGAAGUGGUUUUGGCUGGUGCAGCCGGUGACCAGUGCAGCCGGCGGCCGGCGCUGUAGCACAGCAGCACUCCACAGUGCUCUGCACAAAGUGCAGUGGUCUGGGUGCCCUGUUGAACCGGCAAUCUGAGACUUGAGAGAGCAGAUUGGCAUAUCCAUCUGAUUGAAUGGGACUUGGACAGUGAGCCAGGUUAGGAGAUUCCAGGGAAAUGGUGUUUGGGCCAGGGCAGUGGGACAAACAAAACGGUGAUUCCAACCACUCCGGGUGGAGAGUUUCACUGUGGGCACAGCUGAACCCAGGAUGGUGCAGCUCGGGGGGGAGGGGUGUUUGCCAUUACCACGGCAUCCCAACCGUACUGAGAUACACUCCCAUUGCUGAUGCAGCCUGCCGUUGCCGAGGCAACCCGCCACAACAGAGAGACUAUGCCGCAGGGCAUAGCCCGUGGCA